CUCAAGAACUCGCUCCAGUUGCAUAUAUUUCUAUAUACAAAAGAAUAUGUAUUGUUUUACAAAGUUUCUAUUUACUGUGCAAAGCAAUAAAGCUUAAAAUUCAAAUUUCACACGAAAAAAGAGAAGAGGAGUAAAAUUUCGCAUGUAGAUCAACUGUUAAAAAUGAAUCAAAAGAAAUGUUAAUGAGAGAUGGGACAAGCGAAAUACACCGGAUAUUCCAAUGUCUUUCCCUCUCUCUUUCUCCCUAACUCUGUAAACUUCAGCAGUCGAAAAAAAAGACUGGAAGUUCAUUAAACCCCAACCAGCCCAACUCAAACGGAGCGUGAUGAAUGUUUGGGCAACAACAGUGUUACUGACCUCACAUUACAUGCAGCGAAAAAAAAACAACUAAAAACGUGCAGGUUCAUCAA